AGCGAACGCUGGCGGCAUGCCUAACACAUGCAAGUCGAACGGGGCAGCAAUGCCUAGUGGCGGACGGGUGAGGAAUACGUAGGAAUCUGCCCUUAAGUGGGGGAUAACCAGGGGAAACCCUGACUAAUACCGCAUGAUCUCUUCGGAGCAAAGAGGGGGACCGCAAGGCCUCUCGCUUCUGGAUGAGCCUACGUCUGAUUAGCUAGUUGGUAGGGUAAAGGCCUACCAAGGCGACGAUCAGUAACUGGUCUGAGAGGAUGAUCAGUCACACCGGAACGGAGACACGGUCCGGACUCCUACGGGAGGCAGCAGUGGGGAAUAUUGGACAAUGGGCGCAAGCCUGAUCCAGCAAUGCCGCGUGUGUGAAGAAGGCCUUCGGGUUGUAAAGCACUUUAGCCUGGAAAGAAAAAACUUUGGUUAACACCCAAAGUCUUGACGGUACCAGGAGAAUAAGCACCGGUUAACUCUGUGCCAGCAGCCGCCGUAAUAC
rnacentral:rRNA from 1 species